CUCAGCCUAAAGGUGGUAUUGAAAUACCAAACUGGAACUUUGCUCCAUCAAGAAACCUUAGCCUUUCAAGGGUGUUGUCAGGACAACAGUAGAAUGUCUUCAGCCCUUUGUUUACUGACUCAAGGAAGAUUGCCCGGAGCCUUGGACGCAUGCAGAAUCAUGGAAGGACAUUUUUUGCUCAUGAGGACUACCAAAAGUCUGCAUCCAGGUUUGGGCAGCAGAUGCUAAAGUGCUUCACAAACCUCCCUCAGAUUUUCUUUGGAAGGACCUGGAGAGAUUUAGGACAAGCCUUGACUGUGCUACCAUUCUCUGUGAGCCUGGUGGUCAGGCUGUGGCUUGGUACACUCCUCUCUACUGGAACAGAAUGCAAGGAUAGAUGGCGAAAGAAGAAAGUGAAAACUUUGAGAAUAUGGUUAUACCAACUUUCUCGGCAGAGGGAUGGGAAAAGAAACAGCAAUUCACAAUAACUGUCACAGAGUGGAAGAGGGCUGACCCAUGCCAAACAGGAAAAAGAAGACAAAGCUUCAUUAAAAGUUUCUUCUCACAGCCCAAUGGACUGUCUUGCACUCCCCCUGGAAAACCGCUGCUCUAUAGAACUGCAUAUGUUGGAGUACCAGCCUCAGAAAAACUUUUCAGCUUGGGCCAGGAAAGGGUUUAUGCACCUGCUUGGCUUUGCACACCCAAAGAGUAAUCCUGCGGCCAGGAGGACUGUCAGGAAGAUCCUUCUCAACUGUUCAAUCCAGGCAAAGCAGAUUAAAACCUGAUGGAGUCAGUUGUAAUAGACCUAAUUUCACGGUUUGUUUCCUGCUCUGUCUUAAUCACUGGUAGCAUCAGCUAACGGAUGUCUUUUUGUGUAAUCCUGGUUUGUCUAAUUUGCUAAAAGUUAGCUUGUCCUUUUUUGUGUAAAUCUGGUCUUCUGCAGAGCUGGGUCCUCCAUAUCUGGUUUUUCUGGACAGGGAAACUCUGGUGACAGAAAGGGAAUCGGCACCUGCCAGCUGCAAGUGCUGGUGGCAUCAGAGGUCGUGUUCACAUUAGCAAAUGCUGGGGACAAAUGAGAACAGGUCUGCAGAGCAAACCCCUUGGUGCUGCAGACCUGGCAUCCACCCUGUACACGCUUCAAAGGUGAUUUACUUUGCCCCAGCUCUAGGCUGGUACAACAGCCCAUGAGGGGGGCACCUACCUCUUGCACAGUGUAGGUGCUUUUUGGGUAUGAAACUUCCCAGUCUGCUGUGUAGCCCACUCAUGCUCACCACUGAACUGCACAAAGUGGCUUCUGUCCAAAUACCCACUUGCAGCCAGAGUGCUUGAGGUUUGACUCCAGAGGACAUCUUCUGGCUGGGUUUCACUCAAGAGGAAGCCAGCCUGUGCACUUGAUAGUGCUCCAUGAUGUGAACAUGAGCACAGCAAGUGGGGUGAGUAGCAGCUCCACUCCAUGGGUGCACUCCUCUUCGGACCCAAACACACACAGGACAUUCCCCAGUGCUUCUCCCAAGCCAAAGGGAGUUUGCGGCACACGGUCAUGUUUCUUACAUUCCCAUCUUUUGUCACAUCUCUGCAGAUGUAGGUUUAGUUCUAUUGCCAUGAGCUACAUUUGGUUUCAGUUUUCAAGUUUUUUUCCUUGCGACUGUUAAGACUAAAAACUUUUUUCAGUAAAGCAAGCAAUAUGAAACGAAAACAAAACACCUCUGAGAUGGUAAUGCAGUCACAUUGUUCCAGGACCCAGGGCUGCGGGCACAGAGGGAGGACCUUUCUGCAAAUCUAUUUCCUGAGUAAGGGAACUCUGAAGGCAGAACUCAAAGAAGGUGGUCUGCCGUGCAUUAAAUAUAUCUAAUUUUCUGUAGGUUUCCACAAGCAAUCUGCAUACCCUCAGUCUCUCUCAGAUAUUUGCAGAAGAUAAUUCAGCUCUAUUUACUUAUGGUUCAUUUGCAGUUCUUUCCACUACUGAAUUAUGAAAUUAUUCCCCUUAAUACUGCCAGGAAAGUUAAUAAUAUCCAAGAUCUCAGAUUAAAAAUUAAAUAUGGGUAUAACCAUUAUUUUUCUCUGAUAAAUAUUCAUGUGUAGUACAUAUUACUGCCAGAUUUUUCCAGAAAUGAAUAUAGAGAGAGACGUAAGCAUCAUUCUUAUUUUAUUACAACACAGAAAUUACAAGUGCUUCAAGGAGAUUUAUACAAGUACUCUGCUAGACGUUAUUACUGAUAGUGGUGGAAUUAUGGUUUUCAGAUAUAUGAUGGAAUGAUGAUUUUGAAAUGUAUGACUGCUUCCUUUUUUUCUUUUUUAUUUUGCUUUUGUUGCUUAAAAAAAUUUAACUAGUAGGCUUAUAAUUGACAUGAACAACUGGGGUACAUAAUAAUAGGCAUAAAUGUAGUCUUGCUUAGGUCCUGAUGCAAGAAAGCUUCCCUAUUCAGCAAGGAGUCUUCAACUUGUUCAUAAAUGCUUCAUAAUAUCAGAGACUUAGAGAAAUCAGUAUUGUUAACUUAUUUGUUUUCCUCUGCAAAUACAUUUUUAAUCACUAUUAUCUUUAAAUAUGGAUGGUUAUUUUCCUAAUGGCAUAAUACAGCAAAUUUAGGUCAAUGCCUUCAAAUCAAAUUAGUGAUUCAAAGUAUUUUUGCAUUUCUCUUUUAGUUAUGUAGUUCUUCUUUUCAAAAUAAGCUUAGCAUAUGCUCAUAUUUCAGAAGUACAAAGACCCACUCAAAACUGCAAAGAGAUGGGCCUCACAGAUUGUACUGUUUAAUGGUAUUUGCUUAUCAGUUUAAAGUAUUUAGUUUCACAUAUAUCUGUUGUAUCUUUUCUAGUUCCUAGCUCUCCUCUAUAAUAAUCAAACAUUAUAUUUUCAUUGUCUUUUGGGUGGCGUGUAAACAGCAGCCAUCCACAACAUUCCAGUACAGAACAAACUAUGUUCACUGGCAUUAUGGUGUUAUGAGAGCUGCUUGCCUCUCCUCUCCUCAUGCAGCUCAGCAUUUUACCUUCCUAGUUGUAAUAGAAGAGGAUUUUCACUACCCAGUUCCAGUGACUCCUGCGGCUUUACUUCAGAGUCACUGCGGUUGAUAAGACAAUGGUAGGGUGUAUGGUGGCUUUUCCUUCCAGCACGUACGCAUCCACACGUACUUCUUACUGGCACCUUACUGCUUGUCCACUUUGCCUUCUGAGUCCAUCCUGAAGCUCUGCUGAGCAGUCUUCUCUGGUGCUGACACCAAAAGACCUCACAAGUUAUUUACAAAUAGGUUCACUUCAUCUCUUGCUCUCUUUAUAAUCUUUUGUAUUUAUCGUUGAACUCUUUGGUUUCCUCUUCACCCAAGUAUCCCCCUUUUCUUUUGAGACUGAGAGACAGGAUUAGAAAAGCUGCUGUCAUAGGUCACAAAAUUCAUGCUGGGCUCCUGCCUCCCAUUUUCCACAGAAAUGUAUCACUCCACUGAUGGCUUUUUUGUUGUUCUUGUUGUUGUUAUUGAUGGUGAAUUUCACUAUGAAUCAAAAUGCUCAGCUGUGAAUUUUGUUUAAAAAUAACUGCGGAGUGUAUUGUGAAGUGAGCACUUUGAAGCCUCAGCCAAAACCAACAAGUUUUGUCAAUCAGAAUGUUUCCCUGUUGCCAAGGAAUGCUAAUUAAGCUUGCAGUGGCAAAUUGAACCUGCAGACAAGGAACAUAUUUAGCAUACAUUUUCAGUGAAAAGAAGCCAAUUCCUGCCACUAUCUUCUCUAGCAAGUGGAUCAAGCGUGUUAGCUUUUUGUUCUUCCCAAUGGUUCUCAUGGCUUUUGUCACAGAAACUGAGAGUUGAACGAGAUGAGAUGCACCCAUAUCAUGAUGCUUUGUUUUCUUGACUUGUCCCAAGGACUUCUCUACGGGACUGCCCAUGUAAUUUCAAUUAGCAGCGAGAAAUGGUUGCAGAUUCCUCUCUUUGUUCAUAGGGCACUGACACAUUAUGGGCAACACCAAGCAAUUACAUUGGCUGUUAUAAACUAUGCUACACAAACACACAGAUGCGCUUUUUUAAGUAGAAAAAGGUCACACAAGUUAUUCCAGUGAUAUCCCAUCAUGAGAAACUAAGGUGCUUUGUCCAGUAGACCAGUUGACCAAUGUGGAUCAAUGAACUGUUCCUAUCAUUACUAAGACCUGAAGCAAAGCAUCUCAGCCGGCUCAACACAGUUCACUCUGGUUGACAGCCAGGUGCUCCAGUAGUCUUCACCUUUGUGUGCAUUUAUGUGCCCUCUGCCAGUUCGAAUUCCUCUGUAGCCUUCAAAAUCUUAGAAUAGCUUUUUGAUUUCUCACUGAUGCUGUUAUUUAUCUGGAAUUCCAAGGUUCUGUGGUGCUGCAGAAGAUGAUAGUCCAGUAAAGGAGACCACUCUGGUGGCAGAAAGCUGUCAAAAUAUCCUGACUUUGUUUAUUAGGUACCAAAUGCUAUACUAUCAUUUCAUGAGAAACACAGCAAUUCCGGUUUCUUUAUUGCCUCUUUCUCAGCUGUGAUAUCUUAUGACCUGAGAAUGUAUUUCCCUACCUGCCAGGCAGGAUGCCAGUCCGUCAAAAUAAUUUCCUUAUCUGUUUGUUGCUUACUGCUUAAAAAACACUGAUGUAAUGUGCAUUUGUGUAUUUUCAGUGCUCCAGGAAAAAAAAAAACAAACCAAACCACAUGUUUUUAUGACCUAGAAUUUUGGAGGAGAGGAAAACUGGGGAAAAUCAAGGGGAUAAAUAAUAAUUCUUUGUGGCCAAAUGUGGAAAUUGUGAAAGGACUUAAAGAUUACUGCCCACAUCUUCAAAUAAUAUAAACAAGCACAGCUCUUGCAAUUUACCUCCUUCCAUCAUGGUCAAAUAAGUUACAUUAUGAAUACUUCAGUGCCACCGAAAGCAAAUCAAAGAUUUGUCCAUGGUUCUGUUGAGAGAGAGAAGGGGUGGCAUUCAACAAGAGGCUUUCUUAAGACUUCAGGAAACCCAGAUACCUCUGUGGGUGAUGGUAAGGUAUGUGUAGCAGGCUCUCCCAUGAACUGCCUCAGCAAGCCAGUAGCGCCGACCUGCUUGUUGUUCAUUAGCAUCACUUACCAGACAAAACAUCAUCACUAUGCUGAGGUGUGCUGACACAUUAUGCACUUGCAAACUCCGGUUGCCACUGAGAGGCAAAUCUGGAGAGCUGCAGUGCCUUUGAGAUGUGAACACUUCCAAGCACACAAGUGCCCGGAAAUAUCAGCAGAUCUGCCUGAAUGAAAAGUACAUUUAUUGCCCUUUGCUUCUCUUGCAAGCUGAUCGCGAUGGGUAAAACUGUGGUUGCAAGUGUCAGGUCAGCCUGUGAAAAAGCAAUUCUCUCCUGGAUAAUUUUGGCAGAACAACUUGACCUUCAAGAAACCACGACUAAGGAUGACCCUUUAUUUUCUUGUCGCCCAUUACAGCACAUAGUCUGUGACCGAGUCAUAUAAUGGAGUGAUAAAAUGAAGUCCAGAGAUUCACUUUUGAAAAUUGCUGUCAUCUAAUAACAAUACCCAGCACUUAUGAAAUCUCCAAGUGAGCUUGCUUAAAGCUGGUGUUCAUGUCAGUAGAAAUGUGGUCAUUUAAAAGCCGAUUCUAUGGUAAAAGUAUGUCCAGGGAUGAGACUACUUUUGAACACAGCUCAAGAAACUGACAGAAAUCCAGGGUCAAGAAGUGAAAAACUUGUUCCCUCCUUGCCAGGAAUUAAUGGAGAACUGCAGGCAGUGAAAACAAGGAGCCAAAGAUGUGAUGAUUUUUGCAGUGAGACUUGUGAAGAUGAAAUAAGGCAGAUAGUCUGAGAGCGUCAGCUAGAAGGAAAGUGACAGUGAGGUGGAAAAUGAUGUGAUUUCCAUUCACAUUCAAAGGCUGCUAGAGGUUUGGAGAAGUACAUGUUGAUCAUGGGCAGCCAUCACAACUGUGAUUUUGGCCAACCAAUGCUUGCUGAAAUCCAAUUCAACAGAAUGUCUGCAAGAGACAUUUAAAAUAAAGGUGUCUUAGUGACAGCAAGUGACCUUGCCUGUGAUUGUGUAUUUAUCCCAAUGUGGCUUUUAUUUAAAAUGUUCUUUCAGAAGGUCAGAGGAAACAGAGUUCUUUUGUUGUUAGCGUGCUUGUUUCCUAAACCGACUUCCUUUUUAAAGUAGGUAUGUGGAAAUAAUGACUGUUGUCGUCAACAGACACUCUGUACGCAGGAUCUAGCCAGAAGAAAAAUCCUUCAGUUCCCAGCUAUGUGAGUGGGGAAGGCAGAAGACAACCAACUCGGUCAGCAGGGGAGGAGGAAAUUCACAUCUAGUGAAGAGCAGGAUUUCCUGGUGUGUGGUAUCCAAUCACCAGCCGUUAGGAGCAAGGAGACACGGCAACUUCUAAGGCACCUGGUUGGCUUAAAAAAGAAUGACUUGUUGGACCUCAAACUUAAACUUUCAACUUUUCAAGAUAAGAGAAGAGGCAUCUAUCUGGUUCAUGUGUUUCCUAAGUAGGGGAAAAAAAAAAAGGAACAAACCAUACCAUAAUAAACGUGUCUGUUGCUUGGUACUCAUCACA